UGGUUAUGCUCUGCUGAAGCAGUCUGCCCAC
rnacentral:piRNA from 1 species